GAUCACCGACGACAUGUCGGACUCUUACGAGAACCGAUAUAUCUACGUUGGUGGAAGGCCGGCGAUGGCGAUGAAACCCCCCCAAGUUGAAGCUACGCUCCUUCCACAGUCAACUCUCGAGCAAGACGACUGGCUAACUUGCCGACUUGGCUCUGGCCAAGAAAGGCAAAACGCCAACGCGACCAAUGUCACGUUCGCAAUAUACCGACCAGAUCACGACC
rnacentral:lncRNA from 1 species